rnacentral:rRNA from 1 species
AGAGUUUGAUCCUGGCUCAGAUUGAACGCUGGCGGCAUGCCUUACACAUGCAAGUCGAACGGCAGCACGGGAGCAAUCCUGGUGGCGAGUGGCGAACGGGUGAGUAAUAUAUCGGAACGUGCCCAGUCGUGGGGGAUAACGUAGCGAAAGCUACGCUAAUACCGCAUACGAUCUACGGAUGAAAGCGGGGGACCUGUAAGGGCCUCGCGCGAUUGGAGCGGCCGAUAUCAGAUUAGGUUGUUGGUGAGGUAAAAGCUCACCAAGCCUGCGAUCUGUAGCUGGUCUGAGAGGACGACCAGCCACACUGGAACUGAGACACGGUCCAGACUCCUACGGGAGGCAGCAGUGGGGAAUUUUGGACAAUGGACGCAAGUCUGAUCCAGCAAUGCCGCGUGCAGGACGAAGGCCUUCGGGUUGUAAACUGCUUUUGUACGGAACGAAACGGUCUGCUUUAAUACAGUGGGCUAAUGACGGUACCGUAAGAAUAAGCACCGGCUAACUACGUGCCAGCAGCCGCGGUAAUACGUAGGGUGCGAGCGUUAAUCGGAAUUACUGGGCGUAAAGCGUGCGCAGGCGGUUAUAUAAGACAGAUGUGAAAUCCCCGGGCUCAACCUGGGACCUGCAUUUGUGACUGUAUAGCUAGAGUACGGUAGAGGGGGAUGGAAUUCCGCGUGUAGCAGUGAAAUGCGUAGAUAUGCGGAGGAACACCGAUGGCGAAGGCAAUCCCCUGGACCUGUACUGACGCUCAUGCACGAAAGCGUGGGGAGCAAACAGGAUUAGAUACCCUGGUAGUCCACGCCGUAAACGAUGUCGACUUGGAGGUUGUGCCCUUGAGGCGUGGCUUCCGGAGCUAACGCGUUAAGUCGACCGCCUGGGGAGUACGGCCGCAAGGUUA